rnacentral:rRNA from 1 species
AUUGAACGCUGGCGGCAUGCCUAACACAUGCAAGUCGAACGAGUGGCGGACGGGUGAGUAAUGUCUGGGAAAAUGCCUGAUGGAGGGGGAUAACUACUGGAAACGGUAGCUAAUACCGCAUACCAUCAGAUGUGCCCAGAUGGGAUGAGCUAGUUGGUGGGGUAACGUCUCACCAAGGCGACGAUCCCUAGCUGGUCUGAGAGGAUGACCAGCCACACUGGGACUUAGACACGGUCCAGACUCCUACGGGAGGCAGCAGUGGGGAAUAUUGCACAAUGGGGGCAAGCCUGAUGCAGCCAUGCCGCGUGUAUGAUGAAGGCCUUCGGGUUGUAAAGUACUAUCAGCGGGGAGGCGUUACCCGCAGAAGAAGCACCGGCUAACUCCGUGCCAGCCGCCGCGGUAAUUC